CUGCUCAUUUAACUUUUUAAUCUUUCUCCACAGCCUUGCAAGAAUGUAAGAGUAAAUUUGGCUCUUUUUAUGACAAAGUGCUGUUGAGCUGUGUGCCUUGCGAGGACAUCUGUGGACAGCACCCUAGUCAAUGCAAUGACCACUGCCAGGCAAAAAGCUGGGCUCAUCCUGGAAAAGACAAAAUGCAGAUGCCGUUCAACCACAUGUUAUUGAUUUACUUCGGGGUGGCUAUCGUCAUCAUCACAGUUAUUGGCAUUAUCAUUUUUAUCUUGUGGCGAAUCAUGAGAAAGCCAGAACAACCAUUACCUUGUAAACCAUCCACAAAGGGGAGAAAUAAAGGCAGCUUACCCAAAGAUCAUAUAAUAGAGAGUAGACUUGCAAUAGAGACCCCUCCAGAAACAGAAAGCUCACAGCCUGCAGAAACAUGCGGAUUCUGCUU